UGGGGAAUAUUGCGCAAUGGGCGAAAGCCUGACGCAGCAACGCCGUGUGAGGGAUGAAGGCUUUCGGGUCGUAAACCUCUGUCAGAAGGGAAGAACGGGUAUUGGUCUAAUAGGCCUUUAUUUUGACGGUACCUUCAGAGGAAGCACCGGCUAACUCCGUGCCAGCAGCCGCGGUAAUACGGAGGGUGCAAGCGUUAUUCGGAAUUACUGGGCGUAAAGCGCACGUAGGCCGCUUUGUAAGUCAGGGGUGAAAUCCCACGGCUCAACCGUGGAACUGCCCUUGAAACUGCGAAGCUUGAAUCCUGGAGAGGGUGGCGGAAUUCCUGGUGUAGGAGUGAAAUCCGUAGAUAUCAGGAGGAACACCGGUGGCGAAGGCGGCCACCUGGACAGGUAUUGACGCUGAGGUGCGAAAGUGUGGGGAGCAAACA
rnacentral:rRNA from 1 species